rnacentral:rRNA from 1 species
CCUACGGGGGGCAGCAGUGAGGAAUAUUGGUCAAUGGACGAGAGUCUGAACCAGCUAAGUAGCGUGAAGGAUGACUGCCCUAUGGGUUGUAAACUUCUUUUAUAUGGGAAUAAAAUGUUCCACGUGUGGGAUUUUGUAUGUACCAUAUGAAUAAGGAUCGGCUAACUCCGUGCCAGCAGCCGCGGUAAUACGGAGGAUCCGAGCGUUAUCCGGAUUUAUUGGGUUUAAAGGGAGCGUAGGUGGAUUGUUAAGUCAGUUGUGAAAGUUUGCGGCUCAACCGUAAAAUUGCAGUUGAAACUGGCAGUCUUGAGUACAGUAGAGGUGGGCGGAAUUCGUGGUGUAGCGGUGAAAUGCUUAGAUAUCACGAAGAACUCCGAUUGCGAAGGCAGUUCACUGGACUGCAACUGACACUGAGGCUCGAAAGUGUGGGUAUCAAACAGGAUUAGAUACCCCUGUAGUC